UGGUCCUAGCCUUAAAGUCAGUUAUUACUUAAUAUACACAUGCAAGUCUCCGCCUCCCUGUGAAAACGCCCUUUAAACCCCACUAGGGACAAGGAGCUGGUAUCAGGCACAACACUCCGCCCAAGACACCUAGCUAUGCCACACCCACAAGGGACUCCAGCAGUGAUUAAUAUUGAACAUUAGCGACAGCUAGAUUCAGUUAAAGUAAAAAGGGCCGGCAAAUCUGGUGCCAGCCGCCGCGGUUACACCACGUGGCCCAAAUUGACUUGUAUCGGCGUAAAGCGUGAUUUAAGGUAUAACAUAUUGAAGUUAAACUAAAGCUAAGCUGUGACACGCUUGUUUUUAGGAAACCCAAAAACGAAAGUUACUUUAAUUAAUCCAACUUGAACCCACGACAGCUAGGAAACAAACUGGGAUUAGAUACCCCACUAUGCCUAGCCGUAAACUUUUAAUUACAUCUAAACCGCCUGGGAACUACGAGCAAAGCUUAAAACCCAAAGGACUUGACGGUACCCCAUAUCCCCCUAGAGGAGCCUGUCCUAUAAUCGAUAAUCCACGUUUAACCUUACCAUUUUUAGCUUAUCAGCCUGUAUACCUCCGUCGUCAGCUUACCACGUGAGCGAAACCUAGUGAGCUUAAUGCCUCUACACCAAUACGUCAGGUCAAGGUGCAGUAUAUGAAAUGGAAAGAGAUGGGCUACACUUUCUAAUCUAGAAAAUACGAAAAACUAACUAUGAAACCUAGUUGGAAGGCGGAUUUAGUAGUAAAAAGAAACAAUAGAGUUCUUUUUAACCCGGCACUGGGGUGUGUACACACCGCCCGUCACCCUCCUCAAAGCUGAAAAUUAGUGUUUAACAAACAAAAGCAUAAUAGAAGAGGCAAGUCGUAACAUGGUAAGUAUACCGGAAGGUGUGCUUGGAAA
rnacentral:ncRNA from 1 species